GCUGGGUAUGGUGGCUCAUCCCUGUAAUCCCGGCAACUAGGAGGCUGAGGCAGAAGGAUACCAAGUUCAACAGCCUCAGAAAUGUGGUGAGGCUAUAAGCAACUUAGCAAGACUCUGUCUCAA
rnacentral:sRNA from 1 species